rnacentral:lncRNA from 1 species
AUCAUUUCAUGUUUCCAAGGCAUGUUUAGUAACACGAUCUAGCUUACAAGAUCAACAUUUCUGACAUCACAAUAUCGAGACACUGGCUACUUAUAGGUCGAUUUGAUGGCAAGCAAUGAGAAAUUUCUAUUUCCACUCUACACAUGCACAGAUUUAGCUUUUAAGCUAAUUCAAAUAUCAUGAUCUAAUAUGAAGGCACUGAA